rnacentral:rRNA from 1 species
AUUCCUACGGGAGGCAGCAGUGAGGAAUCUUGCGCAAUGGGCGAAAGCCUGACGCAGCGACACCGCGUGCGGGAUGAAGGCCUUCGGGUCGUAAACCGCUUUCGGCAGGGACGAAGCGAAAGUGACGGUACCUGCAGAAGAAGGCCCGGCUAACUACGUGCCAGCAGCCGCGGUAAGACGUAGGGGCCGAGCGUUGUCCGGAUUCAUUGGGCGUAAAGCGCGCGCAGGCGGCUUCGCAAGUCGGGUGUGAAAACCAGAGGCUCAACCUCUGGCCUGCAUCCGAAACUGCGUGGCUAGAGGCAGGUAGGGGAGAUCGGAAUUCCUGGUGUAGCGGUGAAAUGCGCAGAUAUCAGGAGGAACACCGGUGGCGAAGGCGGAUCUCUGGGCCUGUCCUGACGCUCAGGCGCGAAAGCUAGGGGAGCAAACAGGAUUAGAUACCCUGGUAGUCCUAGCCGUAAACGUUGGAUGCUAGGUGUGGGCGGACAUUGACCCCGUCUGUGCCGGAGCUAACGCAUUAAGCAUCCCGCCUGGGGAGUACGGCCGCAAGGCUAAAACUCAAAGGAAUUGACGGAAU